rnacentral:rRNA from 1 species
GACAGAGGGUGCAAACGUUGUUCGGAAUUACUGGGCGUAAAGCGCGUGCAGGCGGAUAUGCAAGCUAGUGGUGAAAUCCCAGGGCUCAACCCUGGAACUGCCUUUGAUACUGACGAUCUGGAGAUCGGGAGAGGUUGGUGGAACUCCGAGUGUAGAGGUGAAAUUCGUAGAUAUUCGGAGGAACACCAGAAGCGAAGGCGGCCAACUGGCCCGAUACUGACGCUGAGGCGCGAAAGCGUGGGGAGCAAACAGG